GCUGACGUGCCGGUGACGCUGCCGGAAGUGACGCGCAGGGCGGCGGUGGUGCCGGUGUGUGCUCGGCUGUGUCUCCUUCUCCUCAGUCACGGCUCCGGCUCGGCCCCCCCGCUCCGCCAUGUCCGCGCCCGGCAGCGGCGGCGAGUUCGGGAACCCGCUGAGGAAGUUCAAGCUCGUCUUUCUGGGCGAGCAGAGCGUUGGGAAGACCUCUCUGAUCACCAGGUUUAUGUAUGACAGUUUUGACAAUACUUACCAGGCGACCAUUGGAAUUGAUUUCCUGUCAAAAACGAUGUAUCUGGAAGACCGCACGGUUCGGCUGCAGCUUUGGGACACAGCAGGCCAGGAGCGGUUCCGCAGUCUCAUUCCCAGCUACAUCCGCGACUCCACUAUUGCUGUUGUAGUCUAUGACAUUACAAACUUGAAUUCUUUCCAGCAAACCUCCAAGUGGAUUGAUGACGUUCGGACAGAGAGAGGGAGCGAUGUCAUCAUCAUGUUGGUGGGGAACAAAACUGACCUGGCAGACAAGAGACAGGUUUCUAUAGAGGAGGGUGAGAGAAAAGCUCAAGAACUGAAUAUGAUGUAUAUUGAAACCAGUGCUAAAGCAGGAUAUAAUGUGAAACAAGCAAAUCACCACAGAAGAAGGUGAACAGAGAGCCAAAGAGCUGAAUGUGAUGUUUAUUGAGACCAGUGCAAAGACUGGGUACAAUGUGAAACAGCUUUUCCGUCGUGUGGCUGCUGCCUUACCUGGGAUGGACAGCACACCAGAGAAGAGCAAAGAAGACAUGAUUGACAUCAAACUAGAGAAACCUCCUGAGCAGCCAGUAACGGAGAGCGGGUGCUCCUGCUAACAGGCCCGUUCUGUAGCAGCACAUUCCCCAGCCGGCCAGUCUCACUGAAGAACAUCACUGCUCAUUGGCAACCCUACUCUGUGGGCUGAAAAACCAACCUACUAAAGCAAGCGAACUCCCUGUUUACUGGUGGGGAGCAGCCCCGGCCGCCCCUCUUACUGCAUGGUAUGAGCCCUGAGUGCAGAAUGAGUGUCCUGUCUUUUCUUUUCUGUUGUUGCACUUUGGCACUGUGGUGCCCUUUACAGUCUCUCUCUUCAUCUCCUCCUCCCCCUCUUCCCCACCUCGAGCCUCUCCGCUCAGAUAUAUCUCGUGAAUGCAAUUGGAAAACCCACCAAGUUAGGGAAGACAAAAAUAAAGCUUGGGGGUGGGCUUUCCACCUUCCUCACUGCCUUGCAUCUUACCCUGGUUCCCUGGCCACUCCAGCCGUGUCUUUGUCCUGCAUCCCCACUUCCUCUGUUGAAAGGCUGCUCCUUUUAAACCGGUCAGUUUGACUUGGCCUUGCCUUUUUGGACAAUACAGGUUAUCUGUUUCUAGGCUUUUGCUUCCUGCAGGGCACACACAAUGUUAGCUCCUCAGUUUCUCCUUUCUGUGGAUGAUCUUGGCUAACUCUUGCUCAUGACUUCUGAGUUUUGCCCCUCGUGUCACACACAGCACUGGAAAACCCCAAACUCUGAUAGCUUUGGCCUUGUUGCUCCCAUUUGUGUAGCAGAGACAUCCCACAGACCACUCUCCUCAGUUGGAUUAUCUUCCCAUCCAGAGGACGUUGGCGCUUGGUGAGUGUUGGCUGUCAGAUGUGGGGAAGGAAAAGGAUAUAGAGGCUUUGCAGCAUGAAGCUGGGUGGCGAAGAGACCCUCAGGGUGGUUUGUAGAGACCUGAGUCCUGUCUAUCUACAGCAAAAGUGAGCAGUUACCUGAAAUCCAUUGCUAAAGGGACAGUACCUCCCCUGGGAGCCAUGGAUGCUGCUCAGGAUCCUUUUCUGGUUUCUGUUCUCCUGUUCACAUAGGAUGGGAGAUUCUUCACGUGGAGCAGGAGAGCUGCAGCAGAAUGAAGGCCAGUGAGAGCUGUUAUACUCCCAUGCCUAGGUUGGUGCUUGAUGAAGUCAUACACAUAGCUGCUUCUCCUUUUGUAGUAGGCUUCUGGGAAUAGGGCUAGUAGCCACUUCACUUUUGGGGUAGUUUUAAGCUGCAACAUUGCCAAAGCUGAGAUGAGCAGUGGCAGGGAUCUACUGUCAGACCCAGGCAGAGGAAUGAAGGAUUGUAUGCUGCUGAGGUGAAUUUUGGUCUCACUUUUUGACCUUGAAGGUUGGGAAAUACAUCCUCUUCCUCCUGCCCCUGGUUUCUGAUUCUGUUAAUAGAGCCCUGGGGGUUUUUUACCAUCUGUCCUAACCACAAGCCAGUAGGUCUGUUGAAAGAGAUGAGAAUAAAACAGUCGGAUGGUGGAAAGCCAUCCACUGUUCUUUUCAUCAGCCAGCCUAUGUCAUGCUGACAGGGAGGAUGCUAGUGGGCAGGAGAGUGACGGACCAUGGUGUGACGGGUGGGGGCACCAGUAUUUGGUGGUGGUGACACUCCCCCAGCACAUGGCCCUUGGUCACUGACACAGCGUGCGCACUUUGAAGCCUGCGGGCCCUCGAGGGAGGGGAAGAGGCAGCCUUAGCUGGGACCUGGCUUAGUGUCCCCUCACUGCUGGUGACAGACCUGUUGUUCCCCAGAGCCCUGUCCCUUCCACUCCAGGUGAGCUGGCGUGCAGGAGGAAGCUGGGAUGUGGUUUCCCUUUUCACUCUGGAGAGUCCCCCCUUUCCCACGGUCCGGGAAGCUCAGUCCCCUCCUCUGUACAUACCCCUGUUGUGUGGGAAUUGCUGAUGUUUGUUGGUGUGUCCGUGUCUGCUGUAGAACAGGUUUUGCUGUCCCCUUCUCACAGGCAGGUGUGCACUGCCCUGCUGUUGUGUUGUUCAGUCACGGACCUGGGGGGAGGGAGGGAGGAGACCCUAAGUAACGGGGAGGGGGGGUAAUUAGUGAAAUGAAAUAGGUCACUUCCCACUGUCUUCUCUAUGGAUGUGUAUAAUAUUGAGUGUGUGUCUGGCCCUGCUGUCUCCUAGCUGUUAGCUGAGUAAGUGUGACUAUUACUAUGAGUAUGGACUGUCUGACCACAGCUGUGUAUCACACUAAAUAAAGUUAUUUCACCAACA